GACGAACGCUGGCGGCGUGCCUAAUACAUGCAAGUCGAGCGGACGGAUGGGAGCUUGCUCCCAGACCGUCAGCGGCGGACGGGUGAGUAACACGUGGGCAACCUGCCUGUAAGACUGGGAUAACUCCGGGAAACCGGGGCUAAUACCGGAUAACUCUUUCCCUCACAUGAGGGAAAGCUGAAAGAUGGCAUCUCGCUAUCACUUACAGAUGGGCCCGCGGCGCAUUAGCUAGUUGGUGAGGUAACGGCUCACCAAGGCGACGAUGCGUAGCCGACCUGAGAGGGUGAUCGGCCACACUGGGACUGAGACACGGCCCAGGCUCCUACGGGAGGCAGCAGUAGGGAAUCUUCCGCAAUGGACGAAAGUCUGACGGAGCAACGCCGCGUGAGUGAUGAAGGUUUUCGGAUCGUAAAACUCUGUUGUCAGGGAAGAACAAGUACCGGAGCAACUGCCGGUACCUUGACGGUACCUGACCAGAAAGCCACGGCUAACUACGUG
rnacentral:rRNA from 1 species